rnacentral:rRNA from 1 species
GAUGAACGCUGGCGGCGUGCCUAAUACAUGCAAGUCGAGCGAACAGACGAGGAGCUUGCUCCUCUGAUGUUAGCGGCGGACGGGUGAGUAACACGUGGAUAACCUACCUAUAAGACUGGGAUAACUUCGGGAAACCGGUGCUAAUACCGGAUAACAUGUUGAACCGCAUGGUUCAACAGUGAAAGACGGUCUUGCUGUCACUUAUAGAUGGAUCCGCGCCGCAUUAGCUAGUUGGUAAGGUAACGGCUUACCAAGGCAACGAUGCUUAGCCGACCUGAGAGGGUGAUCGGCCACACUGGAACUGAGACACGGUCCAGACUCCUACGGGAGGCAGCAGUAGGGAAUCUUCCGCAAUGGGCGAAAGCCUGACGGAGCAACGCCGCGUGAGUGAAGAAGGUCUUCGGAUCGUAAAACUCUGUUAUUAGGGAAGAACAAAUGUGUAAGUAACUAUGCACGUCUUGACGGUACCUAAUCAGAAAGCCACGGCUAACUACGUG